UACGGAGGGUGCAAGCGUUAUCCGGAUUCACUGGGUUUAAAGGGUGCGUAGGUGGGCAGGUAAGUCAGUGGUGAAAUCUCUGGGCUUAACCCAGAAACUGCCGUUGAUACUAUCUGUCUUGAAUGUAGUGGAGGUGAGCGGAAUAUGUCAUGUAGCGGUGAAAUGCUUAGAUAUGACAUAGAACACCCAUUGCGAAGGCAGCUCGCUACACUAUCAUUGACACUGAGGCACGAAAGCGUGGGGAUCAAACAGG
rnacentral:rRNA from 1 species